UUUUAAAUAAAAUUGUUUUUUCAAUAGUUAUUCUUAGCUUUAUAUGCAAAAUGAGGUGGUCUGUGUGGUACUAUAUUAUAUUAUUUACUUGAGAAGAUUGGACUGUAGUAUCAGUUUCUCCAAGUGAUUGUUCAUUCUGCAACUUCUGUAAUAAGAUCAAAAUUAUUAAAUACAUGUAUCACUAAGUAAGGGCUUAGACUAUAAAUUUGAAAUGGCGCCUGCAAAUUACUUACUCCUGAUUUUGUUGGUAGUAUUGCUAAAUCUGGAACAUUUUCAACAAAUUCAUGCUCUGUCUCUAGUGUUUGUUUCAUUUGAAUCUGUACAAUAAAUAGCAUGUUUGAUUCAAAGACAUAGUCAUGGUGAUUAUUAUUAAAAUUAUUAAUUUCAUGUAUUACUAUAAGUAUGGGUUUAGACUAUAAAUCUGACAUGGCCUGAAAAUUACUUACUUUUGAGUUUGUUGGUAGUAUUGCUAAAUCUUCUACUUUUUGAGAAGGAUCCCCUGAGAGAAUUAUUAUGCCAAUUUGAGCACAACAAAUUAAUUAAAAAUAAAACAUAGAUGCAAUAAGAAAUGUGCUGUU
rnacentral:lncRNA from 1 species